GCACUGGAGGAUUUGGACAGUCAGACUGGUGAUCACAUGACCAACCAUGACUCUUUUCUGAAGAAUGUGCCACAAAACCAUCUUAGGCUCCUUCUUUUUCCAACACACAACCCACCUCUGGAAGGUCUACCAAUUCAUAGUCCCCAAAACGAUCCCUCUUCUUGGAACUGGAACCCCGAUACAAGAAGAACGAUGUCCUAACACCAUGGAAUGGAGAUGAUCUUUUGCGUGAAAUUCUCCAAACUCAGUCACUGCAGAGGGCCCUGCUUACUGCACACAUGACCCAAAUCUGUCUCAAGUUAGAUGGUUCUUGCAACUGUAACAGGAUUUGAGACUUGCUUGUAGCAGACUUUGGCUUGAACAGACAAAGGAAAGAUCUGAACUGAAUUUAACUGAAGACAUAAAUUCAUGACCACUGCAAAGUGAAAACGGAAAUUUACUUAGGUAAGGCUGUUUGUAACUUUUUGCUUACCCACAAAAGUCGCACAAAAAAGUGCUUAGGCGCAUGUGCGAAGGCUCUAAAUACCAAGAUAAAUGUCCCCCUAUGGUGAUAUACGAGGUCUGUCUGGAAAGUAUUCAGCCAUGUAAUAUAAAAAAUUGUAACAUUUAUUGAAGAAUAUACAGCGUACAGCAGCCAAAACAUCAUUGUUUGCGCAUGCGCAUUCCAUGUCACUCAAACAGCAGCCAAAUCAUCAUUGUUCGCGCAUGCACAUGCCAUGUCACCCGACAGGCAGGCAAAACAUCAUUAUUUGCGCAUGCACAUUCCAUGUCACUCAAACAGCAGCCAAAUUAUCUUUGUUCGCGCAUGCGCAUUCCAUGUCACCCAAACCGUUUUUGUUAAAUCAGCAAUGGUUUGAUAAUUUCUGGACAUACCUUGCAUAAAUGCAGUACAAUAAGUUUUGAUUUGUGGAAUUUGGGUGGUGUAUUUUUAGGUAAAUGCUGUUUUCUUUUCUUAAAUGAGAGUUAUACAGAAGAAAAAAGGGAAGAACAAAGCUCUCUAUGUGCCGUUACUCCAAUAAAAAGAUAUGUAUAGGUGUAUUAGACUUUUUUUUGUGCUGCUUACCU